rnacentral:miRNA from 1 species
GAUGAUGAGGUCGUCGUU